rnacentral:rRNA from 1 species
UCCGUAGGCGGUGUGGCAAGUCGGGAGUGAAAUCUCUGGGCUUAACCCAGAGGCUGCUUCCGAAACUGCCGUGCUAGAGUGUGAGAGAGGCGAGUGGAAUUGCGGGUGUAGCGGUGAAAUGCGUAGAUAUCCGCAGGAACAUCCGAGGCGAAAGCGGCUCGCUGGAUCACAACUGACGCUGAGGGACGAAAGCUAGGGGAGCAAACAGGAUUAGAUACCCUGGUAGUCCUAGCCCUAAACCAUCAGGACUUGGGGUUUGCCCUGUACGGGGCAAGUCCCGUAGCUAACGCGUUAAGUCCUGCGCCUGGGGAGUACGGUCGCAAGACUGAA